CUUGCACAGGUGGCUGCAUGGCUGUCGUCAGCUCGUGUCGUGAGAUGUUCGGUUAAGUCCGCUAACGAGCGCAACCCUCGCUGUGUGUUAUAUGUGUCACACGGGACUGCCGGUCUUAGGCCGGAGGAAGGUGGGGAUGAUGUCAAGUCAGCAUGGCCUUUAUAUCCUGGGCUACACACACGCUACAAUGGCCAACACAAUAGGUUGCUAAGCCGCGAGGUGGCGCCAAUCCAUAAAGUUGGUCUCAGUUCAGAUUGUAGGCUGCAACCCGCCUGCAUGAAGAUGGAGUUGCUAGUAACCGCAGGUCAGCUAUACUGCGGUGAAUACGUUCCCGGGGCUU
rnacentral:rRNA from 1 species